AAACGAGACGAAGCAGAGCAGGAUCCAGAGUACCACGAGACACGAGAAACCUUGUGGGAAUGAGCGGGGACCACCCCGUAAGGCUAAAUACUCCUUAGUGACCGAUAGCGCAUAGUACUGUGAAGGAAAGGUGAAAAGGACCCCGGGAGGGGAGUGAAAGAGAACCUGAAACCCUGUGUUUACAAACUGUGGAAGUACCAUACGAGUACAACCGCGUACUUUUUGUAGAACGGUCCGGCGAGUUACGUUUACUGGCGAGGUUAAGCACUUAAGGUGCGGAGCCGAAGGGAUACCAAGUCUUAACAGGGCGUAAAGUCAGUGUACGUAGACCCGAAACCGGGUGAUCUACCCAUGUCCAGGUUGAAGUUGCCGUAAAAGGCAAUGGAGGACCGAACGCACAUCCGUUGAAAAGGGUGGCGAUGAGGUGUGGGUAGGGGAGAAAUUCCAAUCGAACCCGGAGAUAGCUGGUUCUCCUCGAAAUAGCUUUAGGGCUAGCCUCGAUUUAGUCUUAUGGAGGUAGAGCACUGAAUUUCCUAGGGGGCGUCAAAGCUUACCAAAGAAUAUCAAACUCCGAAUGCCAUGUAGAUGAUGAUCGGGAGUCAGACUGCACGAGAUAAGUUGGGUGGUCAAAAGGGAAAGAGCCCAGACCUACAGCUAAGGUCCCAAAGUGCGUGUUAAGUGGAAAAGGAUGUGGGAUUUCGAAGACAACUAGGAUGUUGGCUCAGAAGCAGCCAUACAUUCAAAGAGUGCGUAAUAGCUCACUAGUCGAGAGGUCCUGCGCCGAAAAUGUCCGGGGCUGAAACACGACACCGAAGCUUAGGACUCCAUUUAGGAGUGGUAGAGGAGCAUUGUUAGCGCAGCGAAGCUGUACCGAUAAGGAGCAGUGGAGUGCUAAGAAGAGAGAAUGCCGGAAUGAGUAGCGAGAGGAAGGUGAGAAUCCUUCCGGCCGAAUAUCCAAGGUUUCCAGAGUAAAGCUGAUCUGCUCUGGGUAAGUCGGGGCCUAAGGCGAGGUCGAAAGACGUAGUCGAUGGAUAACAGGUGGAGAUUCCUGUACUAUGUGUACCCAGAAUUGUGGGGACGCAUGUGGAGAGCAUGAGCCGGGAAAGAGAAAACCGGUACAAGCGGGGUAGGAGUAAGGACAGCAAAUCUUCCUUACAAUCCGAAGACGUAAUGUGGACCGAACCAAAGUAGGGAAGCAUGUGAGCCAUGUGCCAAGAAAAGCCGCUAUUGUGAUACACAUACCCGUACCGUAAACCGACACAGGUGGAUGAGGAGAGAAUCCUAAGGCCGACGGAAGAAGCAUUGUUAAGGAACUCGGCAAAAUGACCCCGUAACUUCGGGAGAAGGGGUGCCCUGUGAAAGCAGGGCCGCAGAGAAUAGGCUCAAGCAACUGUUUAGCAAAAACACAGGUCUAUGCGAAACCGAAAGGUGAGGUAUAUGGGCUGACGCCUGCCCGGUGCUGGAAGGUUAAGAGGAGAGGUUAGCGCAAGCGAAGCUUUGAAUUUAAGCCCCAGUAAACGGCGGCCGUAACUAUAACGGUCCUAAGGUAGCGAAAUUCCUUGUCGGGUAAGUUCCGACCCGCACGAAAGGCGUAAUGAUUUGAGCACUGUCUCGACAAUGCAUCCGGUGAAAUUGAAGUACCAGUGAAGAUGCUGGUUACCUGCGCCAGGACGGAAAGACCCCAUGGAGCUUUACUCCAGCUUGAUACUGGGAUUCGAUACUGUAUGUACAGGAUAGGUGGGAGACGUUGAGCAUAGAACGCCAGUUUUAUGUGAGUCGCUGUUGGGAUACCACCCUUGCAGUAUUGGAUUUCUAACCUGCACCCAUGACCUGGGUGGGGGACAAUGUCUGGCGGGGAGUUUGACUGGGGCGGUCGCCUCCGAAAGGGUAUCGGAGGCGCUCAAAGGUUCCCUCAGAAUGGUUGGAAACCAUUCGAAGAGUGCAAAGGCAGAAGGGAGCUUGACUGCGACACCGACGGGUGGAGCAGGUACGAAAGUAGGACUUAGUGAUCCGGUGGUAUAAAGUGGGAUUGCCAUCGCUCAACGGAUAAAAGCUACCCUGGGGAUAACAGGCUUAUCACUCCCAAGAGUUCACAUCGACGGAGUGGUUUGGCACCUCGAUGUCGGCUCAUCGCAUCCUGGGGCUGUAGCAGGUCCCAAGGGUUGGGCUGUUCGCCCAUUAAAGCGGUACGCGAGCUGGGUUCAGAACGUCGUGAGACAGUUCGGUCCCUAUCCGGCGCGGGCGGAGGAUAUUUGAGAGGAGCUGUCCUUAGUACGAGAGGACCGGGAUGGACGGACCACUGGUGUAUCUGUUGUCGACCAACGGCAUGG
rnacentral:rRNA from 1 species